rnacentral:rRNA from 1 species
GAUGAACGCUGGCGGCGUGCCUAAUACAUGCAAGUCGAGCGAACGGACGAGACUCUUGCUUCUCUGAUGUUAGCGGCGGACGUGUGAGUAACACGUGGAUAACCUACCUAUAAGACUGGUAUAACUUCGGGAAACCGGAUCUAAUCCCGUAUAAUCUUUUGAUCCGCAUGGUUCAUAAGUGAAAUACGGUCUUGCUGUCACUUAUAGAUGGAUCCGCGCUGCAUUAGCUAGUUGGUAAGGUAACGGCUUACCACGGCAACGAUGCAUAGCCGAACUGAGAGAGUGAUAGGCCACACUGGAACUGAGACACGGACAAGACGACUAAGGGAGGCAGCAGAAGGGAAUGUGCCGCAAUGGGCGAAAGCCUGACGGAGCAACGCGGAGUGAGAGAUGAAGGUCUUGGGAUCGUAAAAAUCUGUUAUUAGGGAAGAACAGAUGUGUAAGGAACUGUGCACAGAGUGACGGUAACGAAUCAGAAAGCCACGGCUAACUACGUG